GACGAACGCUGGCGGCGUGCUUAACACAUGCAAGUCGAACGGAAAGGCGCUGUCUUUUUGGGGGGGUGGAGGGGCGAACGGGUGAGUAACGCGUGAGUAACGUGCCCUGGACUUUGGGAUAAGUUCACGAAACGGGGGUGAGUACAGUAAGGGAUAUCCUGCGGCAGGGUCGUGGUGGGUAAGUUUCGGCGGUUGGGUAUGGGCUCGCGGCUUAUGAGCUUGUUGGUGGGGUUGUGGCUUACGACGGCUUUGGCGGGUAGCCGGCCUGAGAGGGUUUCCGGCCACAUUGGGACUGCGAUGCGGCCCAGCCUCCUACGGGAGGCCGCAGUGGGGAAUAUUGCACAAUGGGCGGACGCCUGAUGCAGCAACGCCGCGUGCGGGAUGACGGCCUUCGGGUUGUAAACCGCUUUCGCCUGUGACGAAGCGUGAGUGACGGUAAUGGGUAAAGAAGCACCGGCUAACUACGUG
rnacentral:rRNA from 1 species